rnacentral:misc_RNA from 1 species
GUGGUGCUUACAUUGUCAGGCAGGCUGCCAAGAGCAUUGUAGCUGCCGGUCUUGCCAGGAGGGCAAUCGUGCAAGUCUCUUAUGCCAUUGGUGUGCCUGAACCAUUGUCAGUCUUCGUGGACACAUAUGGAACUGGGAAGAUCCCUGACAAGGAAAUUCUCAAGAUCGUGAAGGAGAACUUCGACUUUAGACCUGGAAUGAUCACGAUCAACCUGGACUUAAAGAGAGGUGGGAAUAGCAGAUUCUUGAAGACAGCCGCAUAUGGACAUUUUGGAAGGGAUGAUCCUGAUUUCACCUGGGAAGUUGUGAAGCCCCUCAAAUGGGAGAAGCCUCAAUCCUGAGAUGGGUUGGUCCGUUGAAAGCUGCCAUGGAAAUUGGAAAACCACCUUUGUUACAACGGGAUGAAUAAUGUGUGUGCUGCCCUUAUAAUCUAAG